AUACGGAGGGGGUUAGCGUUGUUCGGAAUUACUGGGCGUAAAGCGUACGUAGGCGGAUUAGUAAGUUAGGGGUGAAAUCCCGAGGCUCAACCUCGGAACUGCCUCUAAAACUGCUAGUCUUGAGUUCGAGAGAGGUGAGUGGAAUUCCUAGUGUAGAGGUGAAAUUCGUAGAUAUUAGGAGGAACACCAGUGGCGAAGGCGGCUCACUGGCUCGAUACUGACGCUGAGGUACGAAAGUGUGGGGAGCGAACAGGAUUAGAAACCCCAGUAGUCC
rnacentral:rRNA from 1 species